AAUACUCAGUUUCAAUUGGUUUGUAAUAUCUGUUAAUGAUCUUUGGAAAAAWUUCUGAUAACACACGGGAAUUCCCUCAGGGACAGGCUUGUGAAUAAGUGGAUUUUUUUUAAGUUUGAGAUGUCAUUAGCUAGUGAUUUCUUUGAUGUAAAAAGCUGUUAUGGAAUAAAUUGCAGAGGUAUACAAGUGAACAGGACAAUCAUUUUUAUGAAUAAUAUAUAUUUGUUCCACUGUGCUAUCUGCCCCCAAAAGAAAUAAUUUAAGUUGCCAUUAUACACAUAACAAAUUCACAAAUGCCUAUGUAUUUUGUGCUUACUUUAUGUAAAUACUUAAGAAUGUAUGGAUUGUUGGUGUAAAAACACCAGUGUAAGGAUCUAUUUUGCUUCUUUAACUACUUAUUUUCACUAGGUAAUUUUUUGAAAAUACAAGGCUGAAUAAUUUCCCCUAAUCAAAAUGGCUCCAGCACAACUGUUCUCUAGAAGACAUCCUCCCUGAUUUCUUACAGGGCCUGUAAGAUAAUUGAAUUUGCAGGCUGGGCUGUCGGGCUACAGUGAAUGUGACUGUUGCCUCCAUGGUUCCUAUGAAAGGAUGGAGAAGCAAGGAUUUUCCAAGAUCCAGGAAGACAGGUGAAGAGCUACAGAACAGCAAAGAUACGGAUGAAAACAGUGAGGUCUUAUUGCUUCUGUUGGAAACUUCUUCAGACUACAGCAUGAGUUGGAUUGGGCCCAGAGAAACCAAAUACACACAAGUAACAAUGAGUUGGCCAUACAAGGAAGGAAAAUCACAGAUAACAGAUGCACACAAAUUAGCAAUGCACCUUUUAGAUCAUUGAAUGCAGUUCCCUGACACUGUGAGAUUAUUUCUUAUGGCAUAUUUUUGGCUGUUUUUUGUAUCUAGAUUAAAUAUCCGAAGUGAUGCUGUGUCUCUAAGGAAGGAUUUUCCUGCCUAAUGAAUCCCAUUGUCAUAAGUUUUUUUCUUUCUUGAUAUCACCAUGUUUCACCUAGUUAUGCUCCUUUGCAAAUCUCCUUCACUGUUCUUCUCCUUCCUUGGUGCAUUUUCUCUCCAGUAUCUUUAAUCUACUGUUAGGUAUCAUUAAUCCAAUCUAUAUAUGUUUAACUAAUCUUCCCUGACAAACAAGUCCUUUUGGUCUCUUGAUUAUUCUUCCUAUCCUGUUGUCACAUCCUGCCUGUCAGCAUCUUUUUUUUGCUUAUGAGAUUUCAAAGACAUGACACAUUCCUCUGAAUUAACAACAGAUUGUGGCAUAGAUAUGAGCACCCUCAAUGUCUUCUUACUAAUAAAUACUCCUGAUGUAUCCUUGGGAAAGCUAUCAGCUUUCUCGAUAGAAGCACAAGCAGAGUAUCUGGUUCAAGCCACUUUCCUGGUAUCACUUUUUCUUAUUUUGUUGGUCAACAGUAACCUUUUAACACAGUAAAGCAAAUGUUCUUUUUUACUGAUGUUGUUUAAUUUUUCCAACUCUUAGUCAUGUGCAUCACUAUCUAAUGUUAUUAAAGACGUUGACUGGUCUAGCAGUAUGUAAAUGCUAGUAGUGCACAUUGUAGAAAAUAAUUAUGUGCAUAGUCACAAGCCUAGCUGUUCACUUCAAGCUAUAAAUUCUGAUCAACAAACAACACUUCUUUAGUGCUAAAUGAGAUCUUGGUUGUAAUUGAAUGUCUUUACCUUUGUGUUCUGUUGGAUUGGAGGAAUAUCAUUUUAAUCUGCUCUCUUUAAAUUUUCAUUAAGGAACGUUUCAGCUACCUGCAGUCUCAUCUGGUGAUGUUUAAUGAUAUCAGCUAGCUUGUUCUUCUGUGCACCAGCAGGAGCUU